GACGAACGCUGGCGGCGUGCCUAAUACAUGCAAGUCGAACGAGAGCGCCCGGUGCUUGCACUGGUCAAUCUAGUGGCGAACGGGUGAGUAACACGUGGGUAACCUGCCCAUCAGAGGGGGAUAACAUCCGGAAACGGAUGCUAAAACCGCAUAGGUCUUCGAACCGCAUGGUUUGAAGAGGAAAAGAGGCGCAAGCUUCUGCUGAUGGAUGGACCCGCGGUGCAUUAGCUAGUUGGUGAGGUAACGGCUCACCAAGGCCGUGAUGCAUAGCCGACCUGAGAGGGUGAUCGGCCACAUUGGGACUGAGACACGGCCCACACUCCUACGGGAGGCAGCAGUAGGGAAUCUUCCGCAAUGGACGGAAGUCUGACGGAGCAACGCCGCGUGAGUGAAGAAGGUUUUCGGAUCGUAAAACUCUGUUGUUAGAGAAGAACAAGUGCUUGAGUAACUGUUAGCGCCUUGACGGUAUCUAACCAGAAAGCCACGGCUAACUACGUG
rnacentral:rRNA from 1 species